GACGAACGCUGGCGGCGUGCUUAACACAUGCAAGUCGAACGGAAAGGCCCUGCUUUUGUGGGGUGCUCGAGUGGAGAAAGGGUGAGUAACACGUGAGUAACCUGCCCUUGACUUUGGGAUAACUUCAGGAAAAUGGGGCUAAUACCGGAUAGGAGAUCCUGCUGCAUGGUGGGGGUUGGAAUGUUUCGGCGGUUGGGGAUGGACUCGCGGCUUAUCAGCUUGUUGGUGGGGUAGUGGCUUACCAAGGCUUUGACGGGUAGCCGGCCUGAGAGGGUGACCGGCCACAUUGGGACUGAGAUACGGCCCAGACUCCUACGGGAGGCAGCAGUGGGGAAUAUUGCACAAUGGGCGGAAGCCUGAUGCAGCAACGCCGCGUGCGGGAUGACGGCCUUCGGGUUGUAAACCGCUUUCGCCUGUGACGAAGCGUGAGUGACGGUAAUGGGUAAAGAAGCACCGGCUAACUACGUG
rnacentral:rRNA from 1 species